UCGAUUUGGAGUUUGUUGCCUAGAGUGAUGGGCUCCGAAGCUAACGCGAUAAAUCGACCGCCUGGGGAGUACGGCCGCAAGGUUAAAACUCAAAUGGAUUGACGGGGGCCCGCACAAGCGGUGGAGCAUGUGGUUUAAUUCGAUGCAACGCGAAGAACCUUACCUGGUCUUGACAUCCACAGAAUCCUGCAGAGAUGUGAGAGUGCCUUCGGGAACUGUGAGACAGGUGCUGCAUGGCUGUCGUCAGCUCGUGUUGUGAAAUGUUGGGUUAAGUCCCGCAACGAGCGCAACCCUUAUCCUUUGUUGCCAUCGGUUAGGCCGGGAACUCAAAGGAGACUGCCGUUGAUAAAGCGGAGGAAGGUGGGGACGACGUCAAGUCAUCAUGGCCCUUACGACCAGGGCUACACACGUGCUACAAUGGCGUAUACAAAGGGAGGCGACCUCGCGAGAGCAAGCGGACCUCAUAAAGUACGUCUAAGUCCGGAUUGGAGUCUGCAACUCGACUCCAUGAAGUCGGAAUCGCUAGUAAUCGUGAAUCAGAAUGUCACGGUGAAUACGUUCCCGGGCCU
rnacentral:rRNA from 1 species